UAUUUCAGAGAUAAAUUGUGACAUCAGGAUGAUGACACCCACCUGAAGUAAGGUACUGUGAUUUCACGCUGAUGCUGCUAGCCUGAGAGAGACCUGUCAUUGUGACCAUAGUGGUCCCUAUUUAAUAAUGCCUUGUGUGGGACACAGGGGGAAGGUUUGUGCCAGGCAAGUUUCUUAAGCUUCAGUGGUCCUGAAACCAGAGCCUGUGAGCGCCAGCUACAUGAAGUGACAAAGGUUCGCUUGUAACAGGCUCCAUCUCUGGGCUGAACUUCUACAUUUCUCCUCAGCACAGCAGAAUGGAUAGAGCAUGCCAAAGAAAAUAGACUUCACGAUGAAACAUGUAUGGUACCAUCACAGGUGAAUUCUAGCCUCAAGAACUACCACAGAAUUGAACCUCCAACAGAACGGAGGAGGAACCUGGAGGCUCUCAGAUGGAGGAGACAUCUACAUACCCAGGAAAGCAAAACAGGGAUGGAAAGGGCUUUGAAGGGACGGGGCACUGAUGUUCUGAGAAUGCCAGAAGAGAUUCUAGAAAAAGAUGCAGCAUGCCUUGGCAACAGAUGGAAUGUGGGGAGCAAAAGAGAUGAAAGCAUCAAAAAGAUCAAGCCAUGUUUGCAAGGGACUGCAAGUUUUCAUGCACCACGAUUCAUGAUCCAGUAUGGCAGCGAUUAAAAAAUGCACAAUACAGAUGUGUCUAUGUUAUGUGGCUUUAAAGACUAUGAACAUGAUGAUGAUGCAACCCACCAGUGAGAGAACAACACAUGCCAACUGAUACCAUGAAGGGGUGGGGAAAAAAAAUAAACAAAAGCAGCAAAGCCGGACUCA
rnacentral:lncRNA from 1 species